rnacentral:rRNA from 1 species
GACGGGGGGGGCAAGUGUUCUUCGGAAUGACUGGGCGUAAAGGGCACGUAGGCGGUGAAUCGGGUUGAAAGUGAAAGUCGCCGAAAAAGUGGCGGAAUGCUCUACGAAACCAAUUCACUUGAGUGAGACAGAGGAGAGUGGAAUUUCGUGUGUAGGGGUGAAAUCCGUAAAUAUACGAAGGAACGCCAAAAGCGAAGGCAGCUCGUCUGGGUCCCUACC